CAGCAGGACGGUGGUCAUG
rnacentral:snRNA from 1 species